rnacentral:lncRNA from 1 species
CAAAUCUACGGCUCGAUCAUCGAUCGCCGAACCAACAGCUCGAUCGUCGAAUCUACACCGAAUCUACGUUGAAUCUACGUCGAAUCCAUGGCUCGAUCGUCGAUCACCAAAUCUACGACGGCCUCAGCCUCUGAAGGCAAAGGGCCUCGACCAAUGCGGCUCGAUAGCCGAUCAUCGAAUCUACGGCUCGAUCGUCGAACCGAUGGCUCGAUCGCCGAAUCUACGCCGAAUCUACGUCGAAUGUACAUCGAAUC